rnacentral:rRNA from 1 species
AAUAUUGGACAAUGGGGGCAACCCUGAUCCAGCCAUUCUGCGUGUGUGAAGAAGGUAUUUGGAUUGUAAAGCACUUUAAGUUGGGAGGAAGGGAUUUAGGCUAAUACCCUGAAGUUCUUACGUUACCAACAGAAUAAGCACCGUCUACUCCUGUGCCAGCUGCCGCGGUAAUGCAGAGGGUGCAAGCGUUAAUCGGAAUUACUGGGCGUAAAGCGCGCGUAGGUGGUUCAGUAAGAUGGGUGUGAAAUCCCCGGGCUUAACCUGGGAACUGCUUUCAUAACUGCUGAGCUAGAGUACGGUAGAGGGUAGUGGAAUUUCCUGUGUAGCGGUGAAAUGCGUAGAUAUAGGAAGGAACACCAGUGGCGAAGGCGACUACCUGGACUGAUACUGACACUGAGGUGCAAAAGCGUGGGGAGCAAACAG